GAGACACCCUUCUGGGGAAAGACUUGAUUCAGUGGGGCUUUGGUGCUCACUGAGUCUGCCCCCUGAGUGUGUCCCU
rfam:Myotis lucifugus cont2.53109, whole genome shotgun sequence.